UACGUAGGGGGCAAGCGUUGUCCGGAAUUAUUGGGCGUAAAGAGCUCGUAGGCGGCUUGUCACGUCGGGUGUGAAAGCCCGGGGCUUAACCCCGGGUCUGCAUUCGAUACGGGCUAGCUAGAGUGUGGUAGGGGAGAUCGGAAUUCCUGGUGUAGCGGUGAAAUGCGCAGAUAUCAGGAGGAACACCGGUGGCGAAGGCGGGUCUCUGGGCCGAUACUGACGCUGAGGAGCGAAAGCGUGGGGAGCGAACAGG
rnacentral:rRNA from 1 species